CAGUUGAGCGCUGAAGUUGGUACUUGUACCGACUGGAUGAGCAGCGAACGCGUUAGUAACGCGUGGGGAAUCUGCCUUUGAGCGGGGGACAACAUUUGGAAACGAAUGCUAAUACCGCAUAAAAACUUUAAACACAAGUUUUAAGUUUGAAAGAUGCAAUUGCAUCACUCAAAGAUGAUCCCGCGUUGUAUUAGCUAGUUGGUGAGGUAAAGGCUCACCAAGGCGAUGAUACAUAGCCGACCUGAGAGGGUGAUCGGCCACAUUGGGACUGAGACACGGCCCAAACUCCUACGGGAGGCAGCAGUAGGGAAUCUUCGGCAAUGGACGAAAGUCUGACCGAGCAACGCCGCGUGAGUGAAGAAGGUUUUCGGAUCGUAAAACUCUGUUGGUAGAGAAGAACGUUGGUGAGAGUGGAAAGCUCAUCAAGUGACGGUAACUACCCAGAAAGGGACGGCUAACUACGUGCCAGCAGCCGCGGUAAUACGUAGGUCCCGAGCGUUGUCCGGAUUUAUUGGGCGUAAAGCGAGCGCAGGUGGUUUAUUAAGUCUGGUGUAAAAGGCAGUGGCUCAACCAUUGUAUGCAUUGGAAACUGGUAGACUUGAGUGCAGGAGAGGAGAGUGGAAUUCCAUGUGUAGCGGUGAAAUGCGUAGAUAUAUGGAGGAACACCGGUGGCGAAAGCGGCUCUCUGGCCUGUAACUGACACUGAGGCUCGAAAGCGUGGGGAGCAAACAGGAUUAGAUACCCUGGUAGUCCACGCCGUANACGAUGAGUGCUAGAUGUAGGGAGCUAUAAGUUCUCUGUAUCGCAGCUAA
rnacentral:rRNA from 1 species